rnacentral:rRNA from 16 species
GGAUGCGAUCAUACCAGCACUAAAGCAGCGGAUCCCAUCAGAACUCCGAAGUUAAGCGCGCUUGGGCGAGAGUAUUACUAGGAUGGGUGACCUUCUGGGAAGUCCUCGUGUUGCAUUCC